UUAAGCGACUAAGCGUACACGGUGGAUGCCCUGGCAGUCAGAGGCGAUGAAGGACGUGCUAAUCUGCGAAAAGCGUCGGUAAGGUGAUAUGAACCGUUACAGCCGGCGAUGUCCGAAUGGGGAAACCCAGUGCAAUUCGUUGCACUAUCGUUAACUGAAUACAUAGGUUAACGAGGCGAACCGGGGGAACUGAAACAUCUAAGUACCCCGAGGAAAAGAAAUCAACCGAGAUUCCCCCAGUAGCGGCGAGCGAACGGGGAGCAGCCCAGAGUCUGAAUCAGCUUGUGUGUUAGUGGAACGGUCUGGAAAGUCCGACGGUACAGGGUGAUAGUCCCGUACACCAAAAUGCACAGGCUGUGAACUCGAAGAGUAGGGCGGGACACGUGGUAUCCUGUCUGAAUAUGGGGGGACCAUCCUCCAAGGCUAAAUACUCCUGACUGACCGAUAGUGAACCAGUACCGUGAGGGAAAGGCGAAAAGAACCCCGGCGAGGGGAGUGAAAAAGAACCUGAAACCGUGUACGUACAAGCAGUGGGAGCACCUUCGGGUGUGACUGCGUACCUUUUGUAUAAUGGGUCAGCGACUUAUAUUCUGUAGCAAGGUUAACCGUAUAGGGGAGCCGCAGGGAAACCGAGUCUUAACUGGGCGUUAAGUUGCAGGGUAUAGACCCGAAACCCGGUGAUCUAGCCAUGGGCAGGUUGAAGGUUGGGUAACACUAACUGGAGGACCGAACCGACUAAUGUUGAAAAAUUAGCGGAUGACUUGUGGCUGGGGGUGAAAGGCCAAUCAAACCGGGAGAUAGCUGGUUCUCCCCGAAAGCUAUUUAGGUAGCGCCUCGUGAACUCAUCUUCGGGGGUAGAGCACUGUUUCGGCUAGGGGGUCAUCCCGACUUACCAACCCGAUGCAAACUACGAAUACCGAAGAAUGUUAUCACGGGAGACACACGGCGGGUGCUAACGUCCGUCGUGAAGAGGGAAACAACCCAGACCGCCAGCUAAGGUCCCAAAGUCAUGGUUAAGUGGGAAACGAUGUGGGAAGGCACAGACAGCCAGGAUGUUGGCUUAGAAGCAGCCAUCAUUUAAAGAAAGCGUAAUAGCUCACUGGUCGAGUCGGCCUGCGCGGAAGAUGUAACGGGGCUAAACCAUGCACCGAAGCUGCGGCAGCGACACUAUGUGUUGUUGGGUAGGGGAGCGUUCUGUAAGCCUGCGAAGGUGACCUGUGAGGGUUGCUGGAGGUAUCAGAAGUGCGAAUGCUGACAUAAGUAACGAUAAAGCGGGUGAAAAGCCCGCUCGCCGGAAGACCAAGGGUUCCUGUCCAACGUUAAUCGGGGCAGGGUGAGUCGACCCCUAAGGCGAGGCCGAAAGGCGUAGUCGAUGGGAAACAGGUUAAUAUUCCUGUACUUGGUGUUACUGCGAAGGGGGGACGGAGAAGGCUAUGUUAGCCGGGCGACGGUUGUCCCGGUUUAAGCAUGUAGGCUGAUUGUCCAGGCAAAUCCGGAUAAUCAAGGCUGAGGUGUGAUGACGAGGCACUACGGUGCUGAAGUAACAAAUGCCCUGCUUCCAGGAAAAGCCUCUAAGCAUCAGGUAACAUCAAAUCGUACCCCAAACCGACACAGGUGGUCAGGUAGAGAAUACCAAGGCGCUUGAGAGAACUCGGGUGAAGGAACUAGGCAAAAUGGUGCCGUAACUUCGGGAGAAGGCACGCUGGUGUGUAGGUGAAGUCCCUGCGGAUGGAGCUGAGACCAGUCGAAGAUACCAGCUGGCUGCAACUGUUUAUUAAAAACACAGCACUGUGCAAACACGAAAGUGGACGUAUACGGUGUGACGCCUGCCCGGUGCCGGAAGGUUAAUUGAUGGGGUUAUCCGUAAGGAGAAGCUCUUGAUCGAAGCCCCGGUAAACGGCGGCCGUAACUAUAACGGUCCUAAGGUAGCGAAAUUCCUUGUCGGGUAAGUUCCGACCUGCACGAAUGGCGUAAUGAUGGCCAGGCUGUCUCCACCCGAGACUCAGUGAAAUUGAACUCGCUGUGAAGAUGCAGUGUACCCGCGGCAAGACGGAAAGACCCCGUGAACCUUUACUAUAGCUUGACACUGAACAUUGAGCCUUGAUGUGUAGGAUAGGUGGGAGGCUUUGAAGCGUGGACGCCAGUCUGCGUGGAGCCAACCUUGAAAUACCACCCUUUAAUGUUUGAUGUUCUAACGUUGGCCCCUUACCGGGGUUGCGGACAGUGUCUGGUGGGUAGUUUGACUGGGGCGGUCUCCUCCCAAAGCGUAACGGAGGAGCACGAAGGUUAGCUAAUCCUGGUCGGACAUCAGGAGGUUAGUGCAAUGGCAUAAGCUAGCUUGACUGCGAGCGUGACGGCGCGAGCAGGUGCGAAAGCAGGUCAUAGUGAUCCGGUGGUUCUGAAUGGAAGGGCCAUCGCUCAACGGAUAAAAGGUACUCCGGGGAUAACAGGCUGAUACCGCCCAAGAGUUCAUAUCGACGGCGGUGUUUGGCACCUCGAUGUCGGCUCAUCACAUCCUGGGGCUGAAGUAGGUCCCAAGGGUAUGGCUGUUCGCCAUUUAAAGUGGUACGCGAGCUGGGUUUAGAACGUCGUGAGACAGUUCGGUCCCUAUCUGCCGUGGGCGCUGGAGAAUUGAGGGGGGCUGCUCCUAGUACGAGAGGACCGGAGUGGACGCAUCACUGGUGUUCGGGUUGUCAUGCCAAUGGCACUGCCCGGUAGCUAAAUGCGGAAGAGAUAAGUGCUGAAAGCAUCUAAGCACGAAACUUGCCCCGAGAUGAGUUCUCCCUGAG
rnacentral:rRNA from 1 species